UAUCCUGUCUGAAUAUGGGGGGACCAUCCUCCAAGGCUAAAUACUCCUGACUGACCGAUAGUGAACCAGUACCGUGAGGGAAAGGCGAAAAGAACCCCGGCGAGGGGAGUGAAAAAGAACCUGAAACCGUGUACGUACAAGCAGUGGGAGCACGCUUAGGCGUGUGACUGCGUACCUUUUGUAUAAUGGGUCAGCGACUUAUAUUCUGUAGCAAGGUUAACCGAAUAGGGGAGCCGAAGGGAAACCGAGUCUUAACUGGGCGUUAAGUUGCAGGGUAUAGACCCGAAACCCGGUGAUCUAGCCAUGGGCAGGUUGAAGGUUGGGUAACACUAACUGGAGGACCGAACCGACUAAUGUUGAAAAAUUAGCGGAUGACUUGUGGCUGGGGGUGAAAGGCCAAUCAAACCGGGAGAUAGCUGGUUCUCCCCGAAAGCUAUUUAGGUAGCGCCUCGUGAAUUCAUCUCCGGGGGUAGAGCACUGUUUCGGCAAGGGGGUCAUCCCGACUUACCAACCCGAUGCAAACUGCGAAUACCGGAGAAUGUUAUCACGGGAGACACACGGCGGGUGCUAACGUCCGUCGUGAAGAGGGAAACAACCCAGACCGCCAGCUAAGGUCCCAAAGUCAUGGUUAAGUGGGAAACGAUGUGGGAAGGCCCAGACAGCCAGGAUGUUGGCUUAGAAGCAGCCAUCAUUUAAAGAAAGCGUAAUAGCUCACUGGUCGAGUCGGCCUGCGCGGAAGAUGUAACGGGGCUAAACCAUGCACCGAAGCUGCGGCAGCGACGCUUAUGCGUUGUUGGGUAGGGGAGCGUUCUGUAAGCCUGUGAAGGUGUGCUGUGAGGCAUGCUGGAGGUAUCAGAAGUGCGAAUGCUGACAUAAGUAACGAUAAAGCGGGUGAAAAGCCCGCUCGCCGGAAGACCAAGGGUUCCUGUCCAACGUUAAUCGGGGCAGGGUGAGUCGACCCCUAAGGCGAGGCCGAAAGGCGUAGUCGAUGGGAAACAGGUUAAUAUUCCUGUACUUGGUGUUACUGCGAAGGGGGGACGGAGAAGGCUAUGUUGGCCGGGCGACGGUUGUCCCGGUUUAAGCGUGUAGGCUGGUUUUCCAGGCAAA
rnacentral:rRNA from 1 species